CUGUGAGACAUUGUUAUUCUUAACAUGCAUUGUUUAACUUUAAAGUUUGAAAUACUAAAUUUUUUAACUUUAAAGUUUGAAAUACUAAAUUUACCACAAUGACACUAUCUAACAGGUAUAUGCCUUCUGUUAGAAUUUAUCCAGUAUGUCCUAUUCAUAGCAAUAAUUUUAGGACCAUUCGACCAGAGUAUUUGAUAGACACUGCUUUAUGCUUGUAUGAAGAGUGCCAGGAAACUACUAGCAAAUUAUGCAGUGCUAGUGUUAGCAUACUGUUGUAUUCUGAAUUCAUGAUAAUGGUUAUUAAUUUUGGUAA